UACGGAGGGUGCAAGCGUUAUCCGGAUUCACUGGGUUUAAAGGGUGCGUAGGCGGGCAGGUAAGUCCGUGGUGAAAUCUCUGAGCUUAACUCAGAAACUGCCAUGGAUACUAUUUGUCUUGAAUAUUGUGGAGGUAAGCGGAAUAUGUCAUGUAGCGGUGAAAUGCUUAGAUAUGACAUAGAACACCAAUUGUGAAGGCAGCUUACUACACAGUAAUUGACGCUGAGGCACGAAAGCGUGGGGAUCAAACAGG
rnacentral:rRNA from 1 species